rnacentral:rRNA from 1 species
GUAGUCCACGCCGUAAACGGUGGGCACUAGAUGUGGGGCUCUUUCCAUGAGUUCCGCGUCGCAGCUAACGCAUUAAGUGCCCCGCCUGGGGAGUACGGCCGCAAGGCUAAAACUCAAAGGAAUUGACGGGGGCCCGCACAAGCGGCGGAGCAUGCGGAUUAAUUCGAUGCAACGCGAAGAACCUUACCAAGGCUUGACAUAUACCCUCUAUCCCUGGAGACAGGGAGUGCUUCGGCGGGGUAUACAGGUGGUGCAUGGUUGUCGUCAGCUCGUGUCGUGAGAUGUUGGGUUAAGUCCCGCAACGAGCGCAACCCUUGCCCCUAGUUGCCAGCAGGUGAAGCUGGGGACUCUAGGGGGACAGUCGGCGAUAAGCCGGAGGAAGGUGGGGAUGACGUCAAGUCCUCAUGGCCCUUACAUCCCGGGCUACACACGUGCUACAAUGGCCGGUACAACGGGUAGCGAUACUGUGAAGUGGAGCCAAUCCCUAAAAACCGGUCUCAGUUCGGAUUGCAGUCUGCAACUCGACUGCAUGAAGUCGGAAUCGCUAGUAAUCGCGGAUCAGCUCGCCGCGGUGAAUACGUUCCCGGGCCUUGUACACACCGCCCGUCACGCCAUGGAAGUCGGCAGUACCCGAAGCCGGUGUCCUAAUCCAUUAGGAAAGGAGCUGUCGAAGGUAAGGCCGGUGACUGGGGCG